rnacentral:lncRNA from 1 species
GAUUGGGAAAAUGGUGAAACAAUGGAAAGAAUAAGUAACUAAUGAUUUGGUUCUAUGUACAGAAUAUUUUACCUUAAAAAGAAAAAAAAAAAAAAAAAAAAAAAAAAAAAAAACAGUCAUUGGCACCAUAAAUGAGGACUGUGAGAGACUGUUUAAAAGCUGUGAAUGCCUAAAACCUAUAAACCAAGGUGUUCCCAGUCUGAGUUAAUGUUGUUCCCCACAAAGGACUAAGCCAGUUCCUAAGUUACCAAAGCUGCCAUUUUGGAGAUAGAAAUUGACUGAGAUAGGAAAGUCUUUUAUUGGAGAGUAGACACAGGCAGAUUAUUUUGUCUUAAAGGUGCUAAUUCUUGCAAUUAGAC